rnacentral:rRNA from 1 species
GACGAACGCUGGCGGCGUGCUUAACACAUGCAAGUCGAGCGGAGCGGCGAACGGGUGAGUAACGCGUGAGUAACUGCCCCCCUCUCUGGGAUAACAGUUGGAAACGGCUGCUAAUACCGGAUAGUGGGGGAUGACUCGCGUCCUAUCAGCUUGUUGGUGGGGUAGUGGCCUACCAAGGCGACGACUGGUAGCCGGCCUGGGAGGGCGACCGGCCACCAUGGGCUGGGGUACGGCCCCAAAUCCUACGGGAAGCAGCAGUGGGGAAUAUUGCACAAUGGGGGAAACGCUGAUGCAGCAACGCGGGUGAUGGAGGACGGCCUUCGGGUUGUAAAGCUCUGUUAAUCGGGGCGGCGAAUAGUGCGAGGAUUUGACGGUACCGGAAGAGAAAGCCACGGCUAACUACGUGCCAGCAGCCGCGGUAAUAC